GUAGCACAACUCUGGCUGGAGAGGCCGCGGGCAGAGACUGGAGGCCAAGAUCCACCCAGACUGGACUUUCCAGAGUGAGAGGUACAUUUUAACUUGUCUCCUACUGCCACCACCCCUCUCUCGUCCAAUUACAACAGUUUCCCAAAUCUUCUCAAUGAUAAGAAUCACCUGGGAUGAUGAUUCCUCCAGAUGAAUCUCCAAAGGAGUUUGUUUUGGCAGAAAGCAAAAUGAUUGAAAAACACAGAAUUGCGUUGGAGACAUUUCAACUGCCAAGCUUGCUGCAUAAACAAGACCUUACAAAACAGGAAAACCCUGCUCUUUGCGGUGCCCAACAGGUAUUUGCUGGCCGGAGAGAUAGCAGUAGCUGGAACGUGUUAUCUCCUAGCCCUCUUGGGAAACAGCAAAUUCCUUUGCUCUUUCAUUUUUCCCAAAAAGGAGGCCAGACAGGGAAAUUCCAGCAACGCUGCCCAACAGCCACACCUCAUGAGCCUGGAGAAAGGAAAGGAGAGGGCAGGAGACUUCUUUACUUGCUACUUCAGAGCAGUGAGAAGACUCUGGAAGUCACGAGUCGUUCUGAGCCUCUGCUCCGCUAGACAAAACACACAAUAACAACACCUCCGGCUGUCCCCUCAAUUCAUCAGCUCUUCUCAGUAAGUUCCUGCAGGUGACCACCCGAGAGCUUCUCCCUCCUGACUCUGCCUCUAGACCACAGAGGCCACAGGCAACGUGAGGUGAAACAGAGGGAGAGACCAGAACCGUUGAGGUUGGGGGAGGAGCACGCGGCACAGCACACUUCAGUUCCUACGGACUUGCUCCUAAGCCUCUCUCUUCCUUCCGUGCAGUCCAAUGCUAGAGACGGCUCUGGCUUCUGGGCUCUCAGAGGGCUUUGUUUCGCCAGCCUGCUUCAAGAAGGGUUAUCAAUUCACUGCAAAGCUGAGGCUUUGGAGUUCUUACCCUGAAGGGAAAGUCAACCCCAGAGGAGCCUGAACCACUUAAGCUGUGAAUCACACCCGCUUAAGUUGUGACAGGAGUGGCCUUCCGCCCACGUCGUCAUUCUGCCUACAGAACGAGGUCAUCAUAGCCCACGGGAGUCCCGGUAUUAAACAGCCACUGCAGAAAGCCAAAGGUUCUGGAAAGUCAGCUCUGACAGUGAAACGUGGAACUUCCCGUGGGACUAGCAUCAGGAGAGGCCACUGCCAGAGGCCGAGCAAGCUUUCCUCCACAGAAAACAAGGAGACAGGCUCAACGCAGCAGGCGUCUGGCUGGCUGCUUUAGUCUGGUGCACUGUAGGCUAGGGGUUGGAAACCCAAACUCCUCAGGGGCCAGACAAUAAAAAUAAAGAUAAAAACAAUAAGUGGGUGAGUGGCACAUGGGCAGAGAAGGCACAAGCCCAUCUAUAAAGGGCUGAUGGCAGCCCUGUGGAUGGAGGCCUAGUGCUGACCAGUCUUCCUUCUGGUUUUUGAGAAACUCCAGAAAUCUGUUUCUUAUGGGAAAUCUUCCAACUCUUUUUUUUUUUUUUGGCCGCGCCACACAGCUCGCUGGAUCUUAGUUCGCUGACCAGGGAUUGAACCCCGGGCCCCCGGCAGUGAAAGCAGCGAGCCCUAACCACUGAACCGCCAGGGAAUUCCCAGAAAUCUUCUGACUUUUAACGACAGCAACUAAUUGAAGUGUUUAAACAUUUUCUGUAGAGGUAAACAAAUCCCAUUUGGGGGCUGAAUUUGGACCAUACAGAAACGGGCCCUCUGGACAACAAAAGAGUGACCAGCCAGCCACGACCUUCAUGCCAGUCCAGUCUGGGGUCGGGGGAACUCUCAAAUCCCGGGGGCUAAAGGAAAGAGUCAGGGUCAGCAGUGGGUACAAAAGCUGCAGGGACAGCUCAAGUGUCUGCCCUACGUGCCCUCCCUAAGCCCAGGUGACAUUACCACUUAGACGACCCUCACCCACUGCAGCUGCCCCCAGCAUAGGCUGCAAAGACACUGAAGGGGAAAACGGUCCAGCAGGCUCACUCCUGGAGAUAAAAGGCCUGGGGAUUUAAAACAUGCCCUGGAAUGAAGAAUCCUGAUACAUUUACUUCUUUCAGAAGGCAAGUUCAUUUAAGGAAGUAGACAGCAGUGCAGCAAGCAGUCAGCCUCUGAAGGAAGGCAGGAAAAGAAGAGAGGGAGGGAGGAGGGAGGAAAUCCACUUCUAGUCUCAGUUAAAUCCAUUGUUUCAAAUGUAAUUAAGGAAUAAAGGGAUUCAAAUCCAAAGGGCAGGAGUUGAAAGGGUAUUGUGUACAAUUUCUAUUGCACUGAACUUUACUGCGGGUAAAACAUGAUGUAUUUCUUGAAGGCUGAGUCAGGCCAUAGUCAGUUUUGUUUGUUAAUUACCCAAUAAGGAACAUAUUUUGCUAUAAAAAAUCUGAACUCAGAGGUAAAGAGUAAAACAAGACUCUCCAUUCACACCACGUGCCCAGAGGUAACUACUAUACAGUUCAACAUGCAGAUUGCCAGCUCUUUUACUAUGCCAUUAUAAAGUUUAUCUGUCUUUAAAAAAAGUAAUAAAUAGGGUCUUCCCUGGUGGCACAGUGCAGGGGACACAGGUUCGGGCCCU